GGUCAAUAAGUGCCAGCAGUAGGAUAUCUGGAGGCAAAAGCUCAUGGUUCCAGAUGAAAACUGAAAGGUUUCCACAGGCUUUUAGCAUAAGAUCCUGCAAGGGAUGUCCACGCUGUAGUUCCAAGUGAAUAUGAUGAAGCAGGACAUCUACCAUUGUAUAAAUAUUUGCAGUCACCUCUUCAGGAGAAAACUCUCUCAAAACACGUCCAAGGUUUGUGCAGUUAAUAUUUUCUGGAUGCCCAUGCAUUAGUAUCCAUGCACCAGCACAGAGAUACUGGCGGUGCUGAGGAAAACUAUGGUUAAUAUAAGUAACAACAUAUGAGGGAUCAGCUGAGGGAGAAAGAAGCUGUGUGCAUUGAUUGAUAACAGUUGUUUCUGCCUGCUGCCAUGCUUGGAUUGCCAAGCCCCUUUUAUCCAUUCGCCCACUCAAGGCAUCACGUAAAAUUGAAGGAAAAUAGCGCAAAGUUUUCUCAGACCAGGUAUGCUGGCUAGUUGCUAAGAUUUGUUCCAGCAUUGUUUGAAGAUACAGUAACUGUUCGAACUCUCCAAUUCCACGAGUUUUAAUUAUGAUUGCAAGAGUAACAAUUGUUAUCCUAUUUAAAGUCUCAGUAAACUCAGUUGGACCCUUCCCUUCCCUCUUCACAAAGAAAAAGUCUCUCAACGACAAAAUCAGAUUCAUACAUAAGUUCUCAGCCAAUCUGAAAAUGCGAUGAUCUCCGCGUUUUCCCUUCAGUGUAGAAAUCAUUUUGGUGACAUCAUACAUCAAUGUCUUGCUCUUACCUUGGUACCUGUAGAGUGAAAGGAAACGAUAAUUAAGAAUCUCAAACACCAAGAUUGUGUUUCCUGGCUUGGUCAAUGUGGUGGGAUUCCUCGAUGUCAGAUGGGUUAAGAGCGAACGAAACAAUGAAUGAGGGGAAAUGAGCAUCAACCUACAGUAUGUUUCAACCAUAGCGAUGCUGGGCACAGCCUGUCCAGAAAACAUUGAUUCUUCCAAUUGAAAAGCCACUUUCAAGCAUAAAUUUAUGGACAAUCCUGAUAACAAUGAUAUCGGCAGGGGGCAAACUUCACGCAUCA
rnacentral:misc_RNA from 1 species